rnacentral:tRNA from 1 species
UGGCUUCAUCGUAUAACGGCCAGUACACCGGACUGUCUCUCCGGAGGCGCGGGUUCGAUUCCCGCUGGAGCAG